GAAAAGAAACCAACAGGGAUUGCCCCAGUAACGGCGAGUGAAGCGGCAAGAGCUCAAAUUUUAAAUCUGGGGUCUCCGGCCCCCGAGUUGUAAUUUGGAGAGGCAUCUUCGGGAGGAGCGCUGGCCAAUGUUCCUUGGAACAGGACGUCGCAGAGGGUGAGAAUCCCGUGCCAGGCCAGCCGCGCCCUUCCACGUGAAGCGCCUUCGACGAGUCGAGUUGUUUGGGAAUGCAGCUCCAAGUGGGUGGUAAAUUUCAUCUAAAGCUAAAUACCGGCGAGAGACCGAUAGCGCACAAGUAGAGUGAUCGAAAGAUGAAAAGCACUUUGAAAAUAGAGUCAAAAAGUACGUGAAAUUGUUGAAAGGGAAGCGCUUGAGACCAGACUCGGAGCGAGGCAAACAUCUGGCCCCGCGGGGCCGUGCACUUGCCUCGGGCCGGGCCAGCAUCAGUUGGUGCGGCGGGAGAAAGGCGCGGGGAAUGUGGCUCCCCUCGGGGAGUGUUAUUAGCCCCGUGCUCAAUGCCGCCCGCACCGACUGAGGACCGCGCUUCGGCUAGGAUGCUGGCUUAAUGGCCUUCAGCGACCCGUCUUGAAACACGGACCAAGGAGUCUAACAUCUAUGCGAGUGUUUGGGUGCCAAACCCUUUCGCGGAAUGAAAGUGAACGGAGGUGGGAACCCCUCGCCGGGCGCACCAUCGACCGAUCCUGAUGUCUUCGGAUGGAUUUGAGUAGGA
rnacentral:rRNA from 1 species